rnacentral:lncRNA from 1 species
GAGUCAGUCUUCCAGGGAGCAUGUAGGGAGUAGAGCACCUGUGGUAUGAUUGCUGCAAGGCAUUUGCUCCCACUUUCACCUCUGAAUGUGUCAGCAAAGGCUCCAGCCCAUAGUUUACAUACACCAGGGAAAGAAAAUAUGUAGACUAAUUGACAAGCAGAUAUAUCAGAACAACAGGUUGUAAUAUUGACAUCUUUUUUUCUGCAAUGACAAAAAUUGUUCAACAUGUAUCACAGUUGCUUAGUCUGUACAUGAGGAAAACUAUGCCUAUAUCUGUAAUAAUUUUCUGUAAAUAUUGAGCUCUUAGCAGAAAAGACGUGAGUUCUUCACUAAUGGAAAAAGAGAAAUAGUGUUCCUGUGCAAAAUGGCACCUGUGAAAGAAGAAACAAACCCAAGGAGCUAAAGAAAACACAAGAAGAUGCAUAUGCAAAGGCCCAUUGGAAGAGCCAGACUUUGGCAAAGAUCUUCCUCAUGAAAAUCAGAACUUUCUCAUAUGUAACUGAGGCUGCAGGCUACCUGCAUGCUUGAACAGAAGUGUGAGUCCAGCAGAGAACUGACCAGUCAUUCAACUGAACAAUUCUCCAAAUGGGAUGCUGAAAGGAUUCAUCUACAGUCAUUGAUCUAAGUGUCCUGUUGUUCUGAGUCACUGAAGUCAAAGAAUAGCGAGAGGUUAAAAGAGCUGUACUUUUUAAAACCUGUCACAUUUUAAGAAUGAGAACUUUUAACAAAGUUGUAAAUGUAAA